rnacentral:rRNA from 1 species
UGCUCAGACGAACGCUGGCGGCGUGCCUAAUACAUGCAAGUCGAACGCUUUUUCUUUCACCGGAGCUUGCUCCACCGAAAGAAAAGGAGUGGCGAACGGGUGAGUAACACGUGGGUAACCUGCCCAUCAGAAGGGGAUAACACUUGGAAACAGGUGCUAAUACCGUAUAACAAUCGAAACCGCAUGGUUUCGGUUUGAAAGGCGCUUUUGCGUCACUGAUGGAUGGACCCGCGGUGCAUUAGCUAGUUGGUGAGGUAACGGCUCACCAAGGCAACGAUGCAUAGCCGACCUGAGAGGGUGAUCGGCCACAUUGGGACUGAGACACGGCCCAAACUCCUACGGGAGGCAGCAGUAGGGAAUCUUCGGCAAUGGACGCAAGUCUGACCGAGCAACGCCGCGUGAGUGAAGAAGGUUUUCGGAUCGUAAAACUCUGUUGUUAGAGAAGAACAAGGAUGAGAGUAGAAUGUUCAUCCCUUGACGGUAUCUAACCAGAAAGCCACGCAUCA